UUGAAUCAAGAGAAUUCGCCUUAGAUUUGGCCCCUCUUCCUUAAUUUCCUAAUAAAAGAAAACUAUAUUUACCAUUCAAGAAAAAUGAAACGUUGAGAUAUUUUUCCUUUAUUGGGUUGGACGCUAGCUAGAUUUAGAUGUGUUUUGUAAAUUGUAGUACCUACUGGGGAUGGGGAUAAAAGGAUUUGGGCUUUCAUAUAUAGGUUUAGUUUCAUCAGGUCAUCUAGCAGCUUCAAUCACUCACCAACAAUACAAGAGAUAAAUGAGCUAGCUUGAUUUUUCAUCAAGGAUAAGUCAAUUCUAUUAUGUUCAAAGGUUUUCAUAUAUAUAUAUCUCAGAUAAUAUCAAGAGUCAGCAAGUAAAACAAAUUUCCAGGACACGAGAAAGACAUACUUGGUAAUCAAUAUUUAGCUUGUAAUUUUGUAAGGUUAUGGUAGUAACGACAUGAUGACAAACUACGUAAUUAGUUUGUGGGAAAAUUGAGAAGCAUUUUGGUUACUUUUGUCUAUACUCUUUUAUUGCAUCUAACAACUACUUUUUCGUUUGUUACAGGUAUUCUUUUUUUAUUAAUUUGUUUUAAAAGGAAUAAUAUUUUUUAUAUUUAAAAGCAGUUUAACCUUAAUUUUUUUAUUUCACCCUUAAUAACAUUUUAAUGUUGUAUGGCGCUCAUAUACACAAGAAGUUGUUUAUGAAUAAAAGCAUUAUACCUAUUGUCGUUG